UGGUAAAUAAAUAAAACUUUCUUUCAAAUUAUUUAAAAAUUUUGUAGAAAAUCAUAUAAUUUAUUUUCUUCCAAAUAAAUAUACUUUUUUGCUAUUUAAAUUUUUAAGGUACAAAUUGAAUGCGAUAGUUGAGGAUGACACUACUGAUACCAGCUUUAUUAUAUUCAAAAAAUUGGUACAAAAAUUUAUUAUAUAGGGAGCUUAUCAAGUGAGAGGAGUGGUUUAAUGUGAGAGGUGAGAGGAUAUAGUAA
rnacentral:lncRNA from 1 species